rnacentral:rRNA from 1 species
GACGAACGCUGGCGGCGUGCUUAACACAUGCAAGUCGAACGGAAAGGCCCUGCUUUUGUGGGGUGCUCGAGUGGCGAACGGGUGAGUAACACGUGAGUAACCUGCCCUUGACUUUGGGAUAACUUCAGGAAACUGGGGCUAAUACCGGAUAGGAGCUCCUGCUGCAUGGUGGGGGUUGGAAAGUUUCGGCGGUUGGGGAUGGACUCGCGGCUUAUCAGCUUGUUGGUGGGGUAGUGGCUUACCAAGGCUUUGACGGGUAGCCGGCCUGAGAGGGUGACCGGCCACAUUGGGAUUGAGAUACGGCCCAGACUCCUACGGGAGGCAGCAGUGGGGAAUAUUGCACAAUGGGCGGAAGCCUGAUGCAGCAACGCCGCGUGCGGGAUGACGGCCUUCGGGUUGUAAACCGCUUUCGCCUGUGACGAAGCGUGAGUGACGGUAAUAGGUAAAGAAGCACCGGCUAACUACGUG